GGGGCUGUAGCUCAGUGGUAGAGCGUCCGCUUUGCAUGCGGAA
rfam:Trichuris suis C359907.1, whole genome shotgun sequence.